GAUGAAGAACGCAGCGAAAUGCGAAAAGUAAUGUGAAUUGCAGAAUUCAGUGAAUCAUCGAAUCUUUGAACGCACAUUGCGCCCGCUGGUACUCCGGCGGGCACGCCUGUCCGAGCGUCAUUUCAACCCUCAAGCCCUCCUUCGGGAUGGGCCUGGUGUUGGGGCUCGGCCGCCAUCUCCGGCGGCCGUCCCCUAAAUACAGUGGCGGUCACGUCGCGACUCCUUUGCGUAGUAGAAACACCUCGCUCCGGAUAGCAACGCGGUCCACGCCGUAAAAUCCCCAAUUUUCAAUGGUUGACCUCGGAUCAGGCGGGAUUACCCGCUGAAUUUAAGCAUAUCAAUAAGCGGAGGA
rnacentral:misc_RNA from 1 species